GACCGCCUCGUAAUUGAUACAGAGGAGGAGCUCAUUCCCAUUGAUUCGGGGGAAGAGGAGCCAGAUUAUAUAAUUAUUGACAGUGAGGAUGAGGAUGAAAAACCCUCUCCCCAACAACCCUCUCCCCAACUUGGCCCUACACUGGAACAGGCCAUGGAGGAGGAGGAGGAUGAUGAUGAUGCUGCUGCAUUUAGUGGUAAGAAUUAUUACUGACAUUGAUCUGAUGCCAUCAGAGUAG